AAUUGCAAAUAUCCCAACUUUUAUCAAUUUGGGUUAAAAGUUAUGAUACGUCCUAAUAAAUCCUUUUUUAUCUUCUCUUGAAUUUACCAUCCGAAGUUCGUCUUCUUCCCCCAUGAACGGCGGAAUUCUUGGUGCGGUUCCAUCCACAAAUUUCUCUUCUUCUUCUCGCGUUUUUGAAUUAAGAUUUUUAUGAAAAUAGAUCUGCACACCACAAUGAUCCAGUAAAGAUGAAUCAGUUGUGUCAAAAGAUGGCAGCAAAAUUGAAGAAAAGGGAGUUAAUGAUGAUAAGAAAAAAGAAUUUGGCACUUAUCUACAUCAUGGUGUCAUUUUCCACUAUUUGUGGAAGAAGUAUAAGCACCAGAUAUUUUAAAGGCAAUAUGCCUUUAUUUUGUGCAAUUAUGGAGUUGUUAAGGCAGAGAAUAAAUAUUUCAAUGACAAUGAAGAUCUCCAAGAUCAAAGCAGAACGUUAUAACACCUAAAAAAGACAAUGUGGUUGUUGUUGAAUAGUUGUAGUUUUGUUGGUUAUGUCCAACUUUGAAUCUAAACUUUCAUUGAUUAUUAAAGCUUACUAAACUGUAAUGAUCUACAAAUUUGAUGAAAUAU